AAUAAUAACAGACCCAAGCUAUACAUCUAAUCAGUCAUAGAAUCACAAUAUACACGACCACCCCUUUUUGAUUUUCUUCGAGAGAGCAUAGAACAAAAGAGACCUUCAGUCUUUUGAACUUCUUUGGUCUCCAGCCAUCUUCCACCCCAAGAUCACGACAAGCAUGGACGAAAAUCUGGGCGGAAGAUCCAGGCCAAUUUUUGGUCAGAACUAGAAAAACGAGGCCCUGAGUUUAGCUUUUGAUUUCUUCGUCUUCUUCAGUUUUGUUGGUCUGAUUGUGAUCUCGGAUUCCAAUUCAAAAUAUAGAACAUAAGCAUUUUCAGCUUCUUCUUUGAGUUCUAAUUUUAAAAGAUGAGAUUAUCUGAGGCUGGAAGCUGAGUGAAGGUUGAUUCUGGUUCGAGUUCCCGUCGCCGGUUCGAGGCUCGCAUCAGUAGCCCGUAUCGCAUGUUUGGAAAUCUUCUUUCAUUAUAUACUAUGACAAUUUGCAGCAAUAGAGGUCCACCCUUCCAUUCUUUUAUUUACUUGUUGUUAGUGUAAUAAAUCUCAGCAUUGGAAGAGCUAUUUUGGGAUGAUUUUGAAUUAUAUGGUUAUAAUCAGGUUUGUUUUCUUGUGUUAGAACCUUGAGAUA
rnacentral:lncRNA from 1 species